GACUGGGGAGUGGCAGGGGCGUGCUUUCAACCCAUAGCACGCCCCUGUAGCUAAGAGUGACCAGCAUCGGCAGCGGUGUGGAGCGAGAAGCUGCCGGCUGCCCGUCAGCACGGAUUCAGCAGAGCGGGAGGGGAGCUGUCCCGGUGCUGCAAGGGGUGUGAGGCGCGCCUUCCCCUUGUCCCUCCGCCGCCGUCGUCCGUGAGUCCCGCCGCGGCCGUCGUCCGUGAGUCCAGCCGCCGCCGUCCUUCUCAGCCCCAGAGAGCAGCUUCCUGCUGCCGCCGUCUGUCUUCCGCUCUAAGGGGCUCCGGAGCGUCGCCGCAGCUGUCCUAUGGAUGGUGGAUCGUGGCCCCCCCAAGGGCUCCCAGCGCGUUACCAUAGGAACCGGCUGACCUGAUUGCGUCACUUCCGGCCGGGACAUGAGACGCCGGGGCACUCCGUGGUCCACGCAGCUGAGAGUCAUGAUUGUGGGGGGUUCCUCGACCACUAUCUUCAAGUACCCAUAAAACUGGCCAUACACCUUUAUCUGUCCAAACAAUCAACCAACCAACCAACCAACCAACCAACCAACCAACCAACCAACCACCCAACCACCCAACUUGCUGGUCGGAACGAAAAUCUGUAUAUUAUUGCAACAACAGCUGUGACAGAUGGGACGUGUUUCUUAAACCUGCAUCCAUCUACAUGUAUUCAGGAUAUCCAAAGCAAUGUCAUUUAUUAAAAGCAUAUUUCCAAAAGCAACACAGAGAAGAUAGGGAUAAAAGAUUUUGGGGUGUGGUGUCAGGGGCGUAGAUAGAACUUUGAAGGCUCCAUAGCAACAUUUUCAAUGGGCUCCUGUCCCAAUGCUUCUAGAGAGAUAACUCCCUGCAGAAGUUGCUAAUUUAUACCCCCAAAUAGUGCUCUAGUUAAUUUUCUGAACCAUAGCAGUGCCCUAGUUAAUGUUAUGCCCUAUAGUAGUGCCCUAGGGUCUAUUCAAUUAUUGUCGGAUCCUCUUUGACGGAGAGGAUCCAACACUUCAAUAGUCAAU